rnacentral:rRNA from 1 species
AUUGAACGCUGGCGGCAGGCCUAACACAUGCAAGUCUAACGGUAACAGAAAGCAGCUUGCUGCUUUGCUGACGAGUGGCGGACGGGUGAGUAAUGUCUGGGAAACUGCCUGAUGGAGGGGGAUAACUACUGGAAACGGUAGCUAAUACCGCAUAACGUCGCAAGACCAAAGAGGGGGACCUUCGGGCCUCUUGCCAUCGGAUGUGCCCAGAUGGGAUUAGCUAGUAGGUGGGGUAAAGGCUCACCUAGGCGACGAUCCCUAGCUGGUCUGAGAGGAUGACCAGCCACACUGGAACUGAGACACGGUCCAGACUCCUACGGGAGGCAGCAGUGGGGAAUAUUGCACAAUGGGCGCAAGCCUGAUGCAGCCAUGCCGCGUGUAUGAAGAAGGCCUUCGGGUUGUAAAGUACUUUCAGCGGGGAGGAAGGGAGUAAAGUUAAUACCUUUGCUCAUUGACGUUACCCGCAGAAGAAGCACCGGCUAACUCCGUG